rnacentral:rRNA from 1 species
UCAGGCAUAACACACGCAAGUAGAUCGGGCGUAGCAAUAGGUCAGUGGCAGACGGGUGAGUAACACGUGGGAACGUACCCUUUGGUUCGGAAUAACUUGGGGAAACUCAAGCUAAUACCGGAUAAGCCCUUAUGGGGAAAGGUUUACUGCCGAAGGAUCGGCCCGCGUCUGAUUAGCUAGUUGGUGAGGUAAUGGCUCACCAAGGCGACGAUCAGUAGCUGGUCUGAGAGGAUGAUCAGCCACACUGGGACUGAGACACGGCCCAGACUCCUACGGGAGGCAGCAGUGGGGAAUAUUGGACAAUGGGGGCAACCCUGAUCCAGCCAUGCCGCGUGAGUGAUGAAGGCCUUAGGGUUGUAAAGCUCUUUACCCGGGACGAUAAUGAC